rnacentral:rRNA from 1 species
CCUACGGGGAGCAGCAGUGGGGAAUAUUGGACAAUGGGCGAAAGCCUGAUCCAGCCAUGCCGCGUGUGUGAAGAAGGCCUUCGGGUUGUAAAGCACUUUCAGUGGGGAAGAAAGCCUUGGGGCUAAUACCCUCGAGGAAGGACAUCACCCACAGAAGAAGCACCGGCUAACUCCGUGCCAGCAGCCGCGGUAAUACGGAGGGUGCGAGCGUUAAUCGGAAUUACUGGGCGAAAAGCGCGCGUAGGCGGUCUGAUAAGCCGGUUGUGAAAGCCCCGGGCUCAACCUGGGAACGGCAUCCGGAACUGUCAGGCUAGAGUGCAGGAGAGGAAGGUAGAAUUCCCGGUGUAGCGGUGAAAUGCGUAGAGAUCGGGAGGAAUACCAGUGGCGAAGGCGGCCUUCUGGACUGACACUGACGCUGAGGUGCGAAAGCGUGGGUAGCAAACAGGAUUAGAUACCCCUGUAGUC